rnacentral:tRNA from 1 species
GGCCGCUUAGCUCAGCUGGUUAGAGCGUGGUGCUAAUAAUGCCAAGGUCGUGGGUUCGAUCCCUGUACUGGACA